rnacentral:rRNA from 1 species
AAAGUUUGCAGCUCAACUGUAAAAUUGCCUUUGAUACUGAUAGUCUUGAGUCACAGUGAAGUGGUCGGAACAUGUAGUGUAGCGGUGAAAUGCAUAGAUAUUACAUAGAACACCAAUUGCGAAGGCAGGUCACUAACUGUGAACUGACGCUGAUGGACGAAAGCGUGGGGAGCGAACGGGAUUAGAUACCCCGGUAGUCCACGCCGUAAACGAUGGAUACUAGCUGUUGGGCAUUAGUUCAGCGGCCAAGCGAAAGUGAUAAGUAUCCCACCUGGGGAGUACGUUCGCAAGAAUGAAACUCAAAGGAAUUGACGGGGGCCCGCACAAGCGGUGGAGCAUGUGGUUUAAUUCGAUGAUACGCGAGGAACCUUACCAGGGCUUAAAUGUGGUCUGACAGCUUUAGAGAUAGAGUUUUCUUCGGACAGAUCACAAGGUGCUGCAUGGUUGUCGUCAGCUCGUGCCGUGAGGUGUCAGGUUAAGUCCUAUAACGAGCGCAACCCCUACCGUUAGUUGCCAUCAGGUAAAGCUGGGGACUCUAACGGGACUGCCGGUGCAAACCGAGAGGAAGGUGGGGACGACGUCAAAUCAUCACGGCCCUUACGUCCUGGGCUACACACGUGCUACAAUGGCCGGUACAGCGGGAAGCCACUGCGCGAGCAGGAGCGGAUCUAUAAAGCCGGUCACAGUUCGGAUCGGAGUCUGCAACUCGAC